GCGCUUGCUUUGGCAGCACAUAUAUUAAAAUUGCAAUAAUACAGAGAAGAUGAAUAUGGCCCCUACUGAAGGAUGACAUGCAACUUCAUGAAGCAUUCCAUAUUCUA